rnacentral:rRNA from 1 species
CGCAAUGGGCGAAAGCCUGACGGAGCAAUACCGCGUGAGGGAUGACGGCCUACGGGUUGUAAACCUCUUUUUUCAGGGAGGAAUCAAUGACGUGUACCUGAAGAAUAAGCAUCGGCUAACUCCGUGCCAGCAGCCGCGGUAAGACGGAGGAUGCAAGUGUUAUCCGGAAUCACUGGGCGUAAAGCGUCUGUAGGUGGUCCAAUAAGUCAACUGUUAAAUCUUGAGGCUUAACCUCAAAAUCGCAGUCGAAACUGUUAGACUAGAGUAUAGUAGGGGUAAAGGGAAUUUCCAGUGGAGCGGUGAAAUGCGUAGAUAUUGGAAGGAACAACGAUGGCGAAGGCACUUUACUGGGCUAUUACUUACCCUCUUACACGAAAGCUA